rnacentral:lncRNA from 1 species
AACAAUAAAUGUCAUGAUUUGGGGAGCUUUACGAAAUAAAAAUCAAACUUUUGAUAUUUUCUUAUUUUACUUUUUACGGGAGACUAUUUGUAUUCUCUUUCUUACCUUUUUUUUUUAUUUUUUACCUUUUUAAGAUAAAAAACUAGAGAAUAAAAAUAAAAAUUAAAAACACAAAUCGGCAUAGUAUGAAAUCCUAAAAAAAAAAUAUCCUCCAAAAAAAACAUCACUGCAUCCUUUCAAAUUUUUUUAAAAAUAAAUAUGGAAGAAAAUAACACGUACUAUACAUAUUAAAGUGGCUGUUUUACGGUCCCUACUUCGAAUCUAGGUUUUGCCAAAAUCGCCCAUUUUCUUCUCUUUUUUUCCCGGUAUUUUAAAGUGGCUGAUUCUUGUCAUCAUCUUCAACCUUUAGCCGGGUCACUUCAACCCAGUUUCAGACACGAAAUACCAACGCGAAAUCCGAUAAUUUCCCGACAGUUUCAAGUCGAUUUAAACUAAAAAAUAACAAUUAAUUAUCCAUAAACAUCACAAAAACCAUUUACAAUACAUUUUUAUUUUAGUAUUGAUUCAAAUAGUCUAAAACAAAAGACCUAAAAUUAAAAUUCUCAACAUGUUUGGAUGAGUUUGUGUCAAAUAUGUGUGUGUUUAUUUAUUUAAAUAAUGAAAGAAAUCAAAAGGGAUGUAGAACCUUCAACUCCAUUGCAAAAUUCAUAUGAAAAUAACAAUGGUAAAAUUUGAAAACUGUCAAUUGAAAAAAAAUAAUAAAAAAAUGAAGGGGUGAAGGGGAAAUCAUAAAAAUCUGAAUGUUCAAAAAAAGAAAAACGGAGAAGAAGAUUAUGGGUUUUAGAUCU